rnacentral:rRNA from 1 species
CAAUAGCGUAUAUUAAAGUUGUUGCGGUUAAAAAGCUCGUAGUUGGAUCUCGGCAGGCAGGGGGUGGUUCGCUCUUAGCGCUACUGCCCCAUUUGCCUGUGUGAUUGGCGGAGGUUUCGGGGUGCUCUUCGUUGAGUGACCCGGGGCGCCGUCAGGUUUACUUUGAAAAAAUUAGAGUGCUCAAAGCAGGCUUUUCACGCUUGAAUAUUCGUGCAUGGAAUAAUGGAAUAGGAACUCGUUUCUAUUUUGUUGGUUUUCGGAAAUCGAGUUAAUGAUUAAUAGGGACAAUUGGGGGCGUUAGUAUUCAGACGACAGAGGUGAAAUUCUUGGACCGUCUGAAGACUAACUACUGCGAAAGCAUUUGCCAAGAGUGUUUUCAUUAA